rnacentral:rRNA from 1 species
UACGUAGGGCGCAAGCGUUGUCCGGAAUUAUUGGGCGUAAAGAGCUCGUAGGCGGCUUGUCGCGUCUGUUGUGAAAGCCCGGGGCUUAACCCCGGGUCUGCAGUGGAUACGGGCAGGCUAGAGGCAGGUAGGGGAGAACGGGAAUUCCCGGUGUAGCGGUGAAAUGACGCAGAUAUCGGGAGGAACACCGGUGGCGAAGGCGGUUCUCUGGGCCUGUACUGACGCUGAGGAGCGAAAGCGUGGGGAGCGAACAGG